GAUGAACGCUGGCGGCGUGCCUAAUACAUGCAAGUCGAGCGAACGGACGAGAAGCUUGCUUCUCUGAUGUUAGCGGCGGACGGGUGAGUAACACGUGGAUAACCUACCUAUAAGACUGGGAUAACUUCGGGAAACCGGAGCUAAUACCGGAUGAUAUUUUGAACCGCAUGGUUCAAAAGUGAAAGACGGUCUUGCUGUCACUUAUAGAUGGAUCCGCGCUGCAUUAGCUAGUUGGUAAGGUAACGGCUUACCAAGGCAACGAUGCAUAGCCGACCUGAGAGGGUGAGCGGCCACACUGGAACUGGGACACGGUCCAGACUCCUACGGGAGGCAGCAGUAGGGAAUCUUCCGCAAUGGGCGAAAGCCUGACGGAGCAACGCCGCGUGAGUGAUGAAGGUCUUCGGAUCGUAAAACUCUGUUAUUAGGGAAGAACAUAUGUGUAAGUAACUGUGCACAUCUUGACGGUACCUAAUCAGAAAGCCACGGCUAACUACGUG
rnacentral:rRNA from 1 species